AACGAACGCUGGCGGCAGGCUUAACACAUGCAAGUCGAGCGGACAUGCCCGGAUGUUAGCGGCGGAUGGGGGAGCAACGCGGGGGAACGUGCCCUUUUCUCCGGAAUAGCCUCGGGAAACUGGGAGUAAUACCGGAUGCAACUUCUGGGGGAAAGGUUUAUCGGCAAAGGAUCGGCCCGCGUUGGAUUAGGGAGUUGGUGGGGUAAUGGCCUGCCAAGCCGGCGAUUCAUAGCUGGUUUGAGAGGAUGAUUAACCACACUGGGACUGAGACACGGCCCAGGCUGCUACGAGGGGCAGCAGUGGGGAAUCUUAGGCAAUGGAGGAAGCCCUGGUCUAGCCGUGCCGCGUGUGCGAUGAAGGCCUUAGGGUUGUGAAGCUCUUUCACCGGGAAAGAUAGUGACGGUACCCGGAGAAGAAGCCCCGGCUAACUACGUG
rnacentral:rRNA from 1 species